GGGAGCUCUCCCAUAUGGUCGACCUGCAGGCGGCCGCGAAUUCACUAGUGAUUCGUAUUACCGCGGCUGCUGGCACAGAGUUAGCCGCCUCUUCCUCUGGGGGUCCUCAGAACUUGGUACCCCCUGACAGUGGUUUACAUCCCGAAGGACUUCGUCCCACACGCGGCGUCGCUCCCUCACACUUGCGUGCAUUGGGGAAGAUUCGUUACUGCAGCCCCCCGUAGGAGUCCGGGCAGUGUCUCAGUCCCGAUGUGGCCGGCCAACCUCUCAGUCCGGCUACGCGUCGUCGCCUUGGUGGGCCGUUACCCGCACCAACUAGCUGAUACGAAAUCGCCUGCGCCCAGACCGGCGGACCUUUGAGAACCCGCAGAUGCCUGCAGGUUAUGUCAUCCGGUAUUACCUGCCCUUUCGGGCAGCUAUCCCGGAGUCCGGGGUACAUUAGCGAUUCAUUACUCACCCGUUCGCCACUGACGUAUUGCUACGCCCGUGCGACUUGCAUGUCUUAGCCACGCCGCCAGCGUUCAGGCUGAGCCAUGAUCAAACUCUAAUCGAAUUCCCGCGGCCGCCAUGGCGCCCGGGAGCAUGCGAC
rnacentral:rRNA from 1 species